rnacentral:rRNA from 1 species
UGGGGAAUAUUGCACAAUGGAGGGAACUCUGAUGCAGCGACGCCGCGUGAACGAAGAAGGCUUUCGAGUCGUAAAGUUCUUUUAUAUGGGCAGAUAAUGACGGUACCAUAAGAAAAAGCCCCGGCUAACUACGUGCCAGCAGCCGCGGUAAUACGUAGGGGGCUAGCGUUGUCCGGAAUCACUGGGCGUAAAGGGUUCGCAGGCGGAAAUGCAAGUCAGGUGUAAAAGGCAGUAGCUUAACUACUGUAAGCAUUUGAAACUGCAUAUCUUGAGAAGAGUAGAGGUAAGUGGAAUUUUUAGUGUAGCGGUGAAAUGCGUAGAUAUUAAAAAGAAUACCGGUGGCGAAGGCGACUUACUGGGCUCAUUCUGACGCUGAGGAACGAAAGCGUGGGUAGCAAACAGG